CCUGGCUCAGGAUGAACGCUAGCGGCAGGCUUAACACAUGCAAGUCGAGGGGCAGCAUGACACGGAGAUUCGUCGAAGUGUUGAUGGCGACCGGCGCAAGGGUGCGUAACGCGUGAGCAACUUGCCCGUUUCAGGGGGAUAACCGGUGGAAACGCCGACUAAUACCCCAUAGUAUCACUUUAAGGCAUCUUUUAGUGAUUAAAGAAUUUCGGAAACGGAUAGGCUCGCGUGACAUUAGCUAGAUGGCGGGGUAACGGCCCACCAUGGCUACGAUGUCUAGGGGUUCUGAGAGGAAGGUCCCCCACACUGGAACUGAGACACGGUCCAGACUCCUACGGGAGGCAGCAGUGAGGAAUAUUGGUCAAUGGUCGAGAGACUGAACCAGCCAUGCCGCGUGAAGGUCACGGCCCUAUGGGUCUUAAACUUCUUUUGUAAGGGAGCAAUAAGGUCUACCUGUAGAUCGAUGAGAGUACCUUACGAAUAAGCAUCGGCUAACUCCGUG
rnacentral:rRNA from 1 species